CGGCAACAGCUCAAAUUUGAAAUCUGGCCCUCGGGUCCGAAUUGUAAUUUGUAGAGGAUGCUUUUGGUGCGGUGCCUUCUGAGUUCCUUGGAACAGGACGCCUUAGAGGGUGAGAGCCCCGUACAGUUGGACACCAAGCCUUUGUAAAGCUCCUUCGAC
rnacentral:rRNA from 1 species